GUCAGGAUGAGUGCUGGAGGCGUGCAUAUUACAUGCAUGUUGAUCCCCCAGAGAAAGGUGCUUGCACAAAUGAAGAGUGUCGCGAACGUGAGAGUCACACGUGGACAACGCCCAUCAGAGGGGGAGAUCACAUGGAGACACGUAUUAUAACACUGAAUCAAUCGUAGUGUCGCGUGUCACAUAGUUAAGAGGCGCUUGGGUGUCACUGAGAGAUGGAUCCGCGGUGCAUUAGUUAGUUGGUGAGGUAAAGGCUCACCAAGACCAUGAUGCAUAGCCGACUUGAGAGAGUGAUCGGCCACAUUGGGACUGAGACACGGCCCAAACUCCUACGGGAGGCAGCAGUAGGGAAUCUUCCGCAAUGGGCGAAAGUCUGACGGAGCAACGCCGCGUGAGUGAAGAAGGUUUUCGGGUCGUAAAACUCUGUUGUUUGGGAAGAACAGCGAGAAUAGUAACUGUUUUUCCUUUGACGGUAUCUUACCAGAAAGCCACGGCUAAAUACGUGCCAGCAGCCGCGGUAAUACGUAGGUCCCAAGCGUUGUCCGGAUUUAUUGGGCGUAAAGCGAGCGCAGGCGGUUUAUUAAGUCUGAUGUGAAAGCCCCGAGCUCAACUCGGGAGGGUCAUUGGAAACUGGGAAACUUGAGUGCAGAAGAGGAAAGUGGAAUUCCAUGUGUAGCGGUGAAAUGCGUAGAUAUAUGGAAGAACACCAGUGGCGAAGGCGGCUCACUGGACUGCAACUGA
rnacentral:rRNA from 1 species